AGAGAGGUUCGGGACAUGUAGCAAGAUUUAUAGGUAGAAGAUGAACAUUAAUGAAGGAAUGAAAAAUGGCACUUGCCAAAAGAAAGAAAGAGAUGGAGAGUUUGAUGAAGCAUGGGCAUGGUUUGAGAGGGUGACAAGGGUAAUGCACAAGAUGCUCAUGGCAACAACAUGAAAGACCAAAUGCAAUAUGACAAGAGAUAGGCAUGGCAAAACAAACAAGGAUGGCAUAAGGCAAUAUAAUAAACGAUGAACAUGAUGCAAGAAGUAAAAUAUGACAAGGCACUCAACAAACAUGCAACAACAAUGAUGACCAUGAUGCAAAAUAAAAUAAAACAAACAUCACAAGCAUGCAAGCAUGGACAUAACACAACAGUAAUAGAGGUCUUGGUCUGGGGGCGUCACAACACUCCUCCACUUACAAGAGAUCUCGUCCCGAGAUCUAGGAUGGCACCGGAGAAAAACGGAAGAGGAAGAGGUAAAACAAAGUUGCUUCUUUGACAAACGAGUGAAACCAAAGAACCUUGAGAGGUCCCAAAGCCUGAAGAAAUGACACGACGGAGGUGAACAAAAUGUAAAACACUCCGUUUAGCAAGAGGAACAAGGAAGAUUACAAGAACCUUGUAGGUUGAAAGACAUAAGAAAAAGGGUUACAAUGGACAAGAAGUAUAUGCAAGCACUCCGGUUGAAAUGAGAUGUACAAGGAACGAUAAGGAUCAAUUACAACAACACUCCGGUUGGUAAUGGAAGGCAUAGAAUAUGAACUUGGCAAAAAGAAAGCACUUGGAUGAGACUCCGGUUAGAAGAGGAAUGAUAGACACAACACUCCGGUUAAAACAAGAUAAAGAAGGAAUAAGAAUGAUAUAAUUUGGACAGUACUCCGACUGUAAAUGGAAGGAAUUGAACAUGAACUUUACAAGAUGAGAGGAUACUUAAUGAAAUCAACAGCACACUGCCUCCGGAACUAUUGAAAGAAUGGCACAAUGGGUCAGAAAGAUUUCAUACAGCAUUCCGGCUGAGAAGGGAGGCAAAACUUGACAGAAUGGGAAGAACUUGAAAAGAGGGAACGACAAUCCGGUUGAGAAUGGAUAGGCAUGAAAAGAACACGGUCCUCAGAAACCGAGAAGAUGAGUGAAGAGAGCAACAUCACAAUGCCUCCGGAAGAAAAAAUACAAGAUAGAUCAUUGGAAUAAAGGAAUGGAGAAGAAAAUGCCAACUUCUGCCACCAAUGAUCUUGGAAAGCACCCUUCCAAGAAGGUUAGAACGGAGUUGUUGGAAAAAUCAACAAAGAAAGGAUAUGAUCUUCGUGGACUUAUGGAGACAUCUCAAAACUUGAGGUGAAAUUCUGCCACUAACGAAAACAAUUGCUUGCUUGAGAUCAACGAAGAGAUGAAAACUUCUCUCGCCGAGAGGAUAGGAGAAAACUUGGAUCAUUGAUAGACACCACAAUUAGCAACAUUCCUUCGAGAAGGCUUUAAGUGAAAUCUAUAACAGGAUAACUCCAACAAAGAGAUUAUUAUGGGUUGAAACAACUCAUGGACGAAGAAAAUAUGAUGGGUAUAAAUAUCUGAUUCUUGACAACUUGUGAAUCAUGAAACAUGAAGAAAAUUAUCAAGAAUGACAUAACACCACCUCAAAAGAUAAGGUAGGAAGAAUUGCACUUCGGAAUGCAAGAUGAAGAAUGCUUGAACUCCUCAAAACAAAACAUGUGUUGAACACCAUGUUAAUUUUAGAGUAUAGCUUAGCGGAUCUUAACUCCGAGAGAAUUCUUGACGAACAAUUGAAGAAUGAAAAGAAUCCUUGACGAAGCACCAUGUUGAUCCUCCAUGAAGAACUCCGAUAAUAAAAGAUUGAUCAAACAAAAGAGAAAGUUGAAAAGAACUCCGGGAGAAGCCUUGCAAUGAUUAGAUGAAGCUUUGAAAUGAUAUAAUUGAAAUAACUUGGAACUCCGGAAAGAAAAUGAACAAAUGAGAUCAAGAAUUUUAAUGGAUCUCCGGAAUAAGGAAUUGAAUUUUUACUUGAUGAAACAAGAAUAAGAAUUACAAUAUGUGUAUCCUUCACGAAUUUAGAUUGAUGACAAGCAAAGGAUUUGGCAUACUACUUAUACUUGUAGAAAGGAUUAAGAGAGAUAUAGCGUAAAUUUCAAAAAAGUCUUCAACGAAUCACCGGUAGGAUUGAAACAACGAAUAAAUUUAUAUGAUAACCAAGGAAGAGAACUCUUGAAUGAACCACCGUAAGAAUUGGAAAUGAAAGUAGCAAAGGCGCGAUUCAUCGGGAAGAAUUAGAAAAUGAAUGAAGAUACUUGAGAGAAUUUAGAUACAAGUGAACACAGGGAUCCCGAGCUGAUUAGAUAAUACUUGAAUGAUGCACCAGUAUGAUUUGGAGAACGAGAGCUGAAAGCUUGAAUGAAUAAUUCUGAGAUGGUGGGCUCCGGAGAAUCAAACUGAAAAGACUUCUGAAAUGCUCCGGAUGGGUGAAAAGAAUUCUCACAAUCAAAAACAAUUAUGAGAGGAUGGCAUCAAGAUAGAACCAUGAAUCUUGAAGAGAAUGGAGCAAGAUUUAAGAGAAACUCUUCGUCGGUCUUCAAAUGUUGAGAAUGACGAUGAGAAACACCACCAUGAAUUGUUGAGGCACUCCGGAAUGAAAAUUGUAAAGUUUGAACCAACGACGAAAAGAAUUUGAAAGAUCUUGGAGAAAGACAUUUGACUGAUGAUAAUUCAUUCUUACGUCAAACUUUGAAAUGAAUUUGAGAAUAACUCCAGAAAAAUUAUAAGAGUCAGGUAGGAUCCUGGAAAAAGACCUGUGGGUUAGGGCCCACUCAAGAGAAACACCGUUGAAAUGAUUACUUCAAAAGGAGAUAGCACCGGUUGAAUUAAAUGGCUUGAAUGAGGUAACAACCUCGAAAUAGUUAGAAUUGGUGCGGAGUGGAAACACGAGUCUUCAGAGAUAUCUUCAGCACUCCGGAACAAUUGAAUAGCAAACGGGGAAUGAUUAAGAGAUGCACCGACAUGAGAAAGCAUUUGAAACGAGGAAAAGAAUCCGAUCAACACUGAAAGCUUGACUUGAGUCCACCGGAGAAGAAAAAGAACGAAGAAUAAUAAACUUGAAGCUGCGUUAGUAUCUUCAUGGGAAAUCACCGGAUAAGAACAUUGAUGGAAAAGAAUGGAGAAACUUCACAUCAAUAAAAAGGAUACUUGAUUAAGUUAUAAGAGUCCUUGAAGAAAGAGGGUGGGAGGGAGGGAAAAACAAAGGCAACUUGGGACGGAUGAGACAAUCACCGUUGAGAAAAAAACUUAGAAUUAAUCUCGCGAAUGUUGGAAUGAUCGGAUUUACUUGAAGAGAAGCACACCGGUUGGAAAGGAUUGAAAAGACAACCUUGAUGAUCAAGAAGGAUUAGUAUCCCCAUAGAAAUAUGAGAACACCACCUAGAAUAAGGUAUGGAAUCAACAUUUGACUUCAAAGCAACUCGAAUACCACAAAACAAAACAAAAACAAAGGAUUUGGCUUGCAGAAUAAGCCGGAAACAAACAUAUGAUAGAUCCCAUAUCGUAUCAUGUGUCUGUUGGAAAGAUAAUCUAGGAGCUACUUGAAUUCCUACUUACAAACUCCCGAAACUUUCUGGUUAUGCAAUCAGGUGUUGGGGAUACAGGGGACACAAAAUAUAUCACCCAAACUAACAAUCCCUAGAUCCAGCUGUAUCCAUCCGUGAACACAAGUUUGAAUAUAAUUCAAGCUUGAGUCAUUUUUGAACCUGACCAAAAGAACUUCAAUGGAGGUGAAAUUAGGCAGAGAGGUUCGGGACAUGUAGCAAGAUUUAUAGGUAGAAGAUGAACAUUAAUGAAGGAAUGAAAAAUGGCACUUGCCAAAAGAAAGAAAGAGAUGGAGAGGUUGAUGAAGCAUGGGCAUGGUGUGAGGGUGACAAGGGUAAUGCACAAGAUGCUCAUGGCAACAACAUGAAAGACCAAAUGCAAUAUGACAAGAGAUAGGCAUGGCAAAACAAACAAGGAUGGCAUAAGGCAAUAUAAUAAACGAUGAACAUGAUGCAAGAAGUAAAAUAUGACAAGGCACUCAACAAACAUGCAACAACAAUGAUCACCAUGAUGCAAAAUAAAAU
rnacentral:lncRNA from 1 species